rnacentral:rRNA from 1 species
GACGAACGCUGGCGGCGCGCCUAACACAUGCAAGUCGAACGGAGAAAGAGACAGCUUGCUGGAUCUUUCUUAGUGGCGGACGGGUGAGUAACACGUGAGCAACCUGCCCCUCAGAGUGGAAUAACGUUUGGAAACGAACGCUAAUACCGCAUAACACCAUUGGAUGGCAUCAUCCGAUGGUCAAAGAUUUAUCGCUGAGGGAUGGGCUCGCGUCCGAUUAGGUAGUUGGUGAGAUAACAGCCCACCAAGCCGACGAUCGGUAGCCGGACUGAGAGGUUGAACGGCCACAUUGGGACUGAGACACGGCCCAG